CGCUUGCCUUCACCACAGGCAACCCAAAAUAGCUUGGAAAAAGUAUCGCUCAAGUCCAACCGUUGAUCUCUUUAACCACAAAAUAGUCAGAGCCGUUGGAUUAUCCUAAUUCUAUUCCAAAAAUAUCUAGCACCUCCAUUUAUAACUCUUGUGGGCUGUUGCGAGCCACGUUCUUCGUAUCUGCUUAACUGUCGUCGUAGCCUCUCUCGAUUCCGUCGAAUUCUUCAGAUCGUUUGACGAAAUUUGCUUUUUUAUCAUGGCUUUUCCCUGCUUUGCUGAAAUUUGUGAUUACUUCCCUUCGUCACUUGUUCGUCGCUCACGCUAGUGUAAGAAUCGAUUUCUUCUCAGAGAUCUAACGAGGCUCUUUUUGAUCUAGCCGAGUUUAAUUCAAUUCCUCUCUGAAGGGGCUAAUUUAUCCUCUUGUCGACCUCGGAAAUCUGCCUUUGUAUCUAUAUCUGAGAUCUGGGAACAUCUUUCAGAUCGGUUUUAAGAAUCUGAAAUUGUCCAAUUGAUUUAUGGAUCAAAUUUUGUAAAUUGUGGCAUGCUGCGAUCUGCUUUGUAGUUGAACGACGGUUGUGGCGGUGAACUGGUGUUUAGUCGGAAGAACAAGCUGCAAAAGAUUGGACUGGAUAUUUUGUGAGCUUUUGAUUUAUUAUGUGAUUUAACUUUGUUGUGUUAUAUCGAUCUCCUUAUUGUAGAUUGAUGAGGUAUUCAUUGUUAUAUCGAUCUUCUUAAUUGUAGUAUGAUGAACUAGUCAUCUCUAUGAGUUGAAAGAAUCGAGGGUGUGAAAAAUCGUUGCUGAGAAGACGUAAGAGAGGUGAAAAAAUUGUGAGGGAAAAGAAACAGAGUGAUUGUUUUUGGUGUUAUCUGACCUUUGCCAUGACAGGUGCGCUUGCAUGGCAGGUCAAAAAUCCUAAUAAAUUUUUAUUUUUUUUUGGUUUUUCUAGGGGGGAGAUGGCACGAGAGAUAUUUUAUUCAUUUUUUCCCCGGCUCUCCCCCCUGUGUGUCUCGGCUCUAUUGCCUUUUUGCUUAAUUUUUUCCUGCAUCUCUGAUUGCCUAUUUGUGAUUCAUUGCUUUGCGCAAAUCAUGCAACACUACUUCAUAUCAAAGCAUGCCCAUUUGAUAGACUGAAGCUGAAUUUGAUUCUUGACAGAAUAUGUGGUCAUCAAUGAUUGUGAUUGCAACUAAUAAGGUGUAUUCUGUCAUUGCAGUUUCAACCUAAAUGGUUCAAUUCUUCACUUAUAUGUUAGUUAAUUCUGUUAUAACAACACUAUCCCUAACUUCUGAAGCCUGGUUUUGAUUUGAUUUUAUUUCUCCAUAUGACAAUUGGGUUUAAUCUAAGUUUGUUUUUAGUUCUCUUAGUCUCAUUGCUAGCUUGUUAUAUAUGUCACGUGCUCUUAUUUGUGUGAUUGGUUAUCAAAAGUUAAAUAACUUGAACAUGCCCAUCCAUUUGAUAAAAUGAAAUCAAUUAUUGGUACUGUAUUGUUACAUCUAGGUUUAUGUAUUGAACCAGUCUGUACUGGCCAUUUUGGUUCUUGUAGUACAAGAUUUUUUCUUGUAUUUUUUUAUAAAUUUUCAUUUUUUAUUCUUUUAAUCAAUUCCUAAUUUUUUGUGAUCAUUUUUAUAUUUUCAUGGUUUCAUUUAAAAAUAUAUAUGUUCAUUAAAGUAAGCUAUUGAACAAUAACUUGCUAUAUUUUCAUAAUAUUUUAUAUUUAUUUCAUUUAUUCGAGGGUUGAAAAUUUAGAUAUUAAAUAUUUACUAAUUUUUAAACAUAUAGAUUCAGUAAUUGAGGUGUAUUUGUAUGUGUAUAUAUUUUAUAGACAAAAUACUAGAUAAUGCUGAUAAACUUGAAAUGGUACGUUGAAACACACUGGUAUCGGAGCACACAGUACCAAAACAAAAAUUAUACACCCAUUGGUAAGGUACUGAUUAUUUUGAUAUAGAUUUUACUCAGCCUUUGGUUGCUGCUUUUUGAUUCAAUAUGAGCUUAACUGGUAUUUGAUUAAUGGCCCAUGGAUCUUAUUCCUCUAUUGGAGAAUUUGUUGUAAUUUGUAUCAAGUGCUGAUUGGUGUAUUGUAAUUUGUGUGGAGGGUUGGGUUCUUUGGUAUAAUUAUCUACUAAUUCACCAAAUAAGUCAUGUGUUUCGUUGACCCAAGUGAUGACAUUCUUUCCAUCUGAGGUUGAUAUCAAGAUGUUAUCUAUAGCAACUGUGUAUUGAUGGUGAAGCAGCUUAAAAGUUUUUUUGGAGUCUCAUAUUUUCUAAUACUCCGAGGAAGGACUAUAUGCUGGACUCUUUUGGAAUUCCCUCCUUUAGAAAGCUUUAGUUGGUCAUGGAGCACCCUAUUCAGGAGCAUUUGCCGGCAAAGAAAUCUUGGUUCAAAUACUUCUAUAUGCGGUGAUAAGGGUGAAAAACAGAGUAAGAAGAAAGGAUUAAUUUAUAUAUUUCCUUGCGGAAUGUUGAAAUUACAGUUGACACGUGGCAGGAUUAAACCCGUUUGUGGAGUUAUAAGAAGUUUUGAAAGAUGUUCAUCUUCUCUUCCAAAAAAUUUGGUGUAGGCCUGAUGCGAGGGAUGAAGAGGCUGCAAAGUUUGGAUGUACGCUGGUGAAUCCGAAUCCUUUGGGCCUUAUAGCUCUUUUGGGCUCAAGUUUUGGGCUAGACCGUCCUGAUGGAAAUAGAACCGUGCAUGUGAUGCGGAUCCGUUAGCACAAAAUUGGUAGGGCGCUCAAACAUUAAGGUUUGGGAGGCUGGUGGUUCGAAACUAGCUGAAUCCUUGAUCGUUUGAACUUUUUAACUCUCAUGGUCAUUAUUGUUAACAACAUAUCCGUGCAGAUAAGCCAAUGAGGUUUUUGUUUAGUUGCAAGGAAGUUGUUUGGGAACUAAAAGUUUUAUUGUGGUUUGGAGGAUAUGUAUGUGAAGCCCAAUGGACAACGGUGAUAUUCAAGCAAGCUGACUGCAAUAAUACUUUGGUGUGGCUUUGGGGAUCUGGAGAAGCAACUGUUUCGAGUGUUAUUGGCAGCAGAUUUCAUUGGUAACAUGCACCAUGGAUAGUUUUCUGUGAAAUGAAUGAUUGCAACGACUUUCAGAAUUUUGGCUACCAAGGGACUUCUAGAAUGGCAUGGAAAAUCAAUGAGAAAGGACAAAAGAAAUAGAGAUGAGAAAAGGGGUCGCGGCAUGCCACAUAUUUAUGGGUGCUUCGCAUAGGAGCAGCUGCCGACAGCCCAGCACUACUUCGGGAUGGCUGAUGUCUGAGAGCAUGAGUCUUACGGUGGCCGACAGUCCGCGAGUUCUAUUCUCAUUUCGCUUUCACCCCUGGUUUUUAUUUUCUCAAUUUGUCCCUUAUAAUGGUUGACUUGUUUUCUUUAUAAUUUUUUUUUUUUUUUUUGGAAACAGAAAAGCUUGUUAGUAUAUUACGACUAGCUUUUAUUGAUUUUUAUAAUA